GGCCGCGCCCCGCGCGCACGCUGAUGGCCGAGCGAGCGGCCGCACCGGUGCCCGCGGCCGCGCACGCGCACGCCGGUGGUCGCGCCCCCGCCGCGAGCCCGCUGUCUCCAUUUGUCGCCGGCAGUAGGCACUCACAUAACACUGGCGACAGAUGCGGCGAGCAGGAUGAAGGCCGGCACGGUGAACAAUAGGGGAAGCUCCAGGGUAAUCCACGGCCACCGGCACGAUGAAGCCGAUAAGAAGUCCUCUGCGCUGGCCACUGGGGCUCGGAAGCCACGCAUGGCCACGACGUGGAGUCGCCCGCCGCCUGGCCGUCGGCACAGAGGCCAUGCGAGGAGAUGGAUCCAUCACUGCCAUGUCCUGUAUAGCAUUGUUGAAGGACAUCCGCCUCCAAUCCAUACAUCCAUAUUGUGAGAGAAUCAAAAGAGAACAAUCUGAAGAAUUGUUGUUUAAGAGACGACAUGGGAGACAGGGCAGUCAGAGGAAGAGCAUCAUCUCCACCAGAUCCUAUCAGUUUAAGUAUCCACAAGAUCUUUUCAUUUUGUUGUUAAAGCUUCCAUGACAUGCAGAUAUUGGACUGCUUAUUGUGUACUACAUAUUGUACCGUACUUAGCAGCUAGGGAUCUGUGUUGUUCCAUUUUUAUUAGUCGCCUCAUGGUUGGAGAUCAAGUUGCGCCCACCCGACUUCACUGGAUCUCAGGGGUUCAUAGUAACUUCUUCAUGGAUGCGUGCAGGUUGUGGCCAUUCUUGAGCUCCUGGACAAGCUAUUGGAACUGAUUUCAUGGAGGAGAGGUUGAAGAACUCUGCGUUGAAGGAUAAAACAUUCGGUGGAGGCAGACACUAGCAGCAAGCCAGUAAUCACACCUGCUGCAAUAUUGAGGGUGUGCUUCUGUGGGUGCCGAUUGUAUGCUAGGAGCAAGCAACUAUGCUUAUGUUUAUGUUACAUCUAUCUGGUGUGCUCCCUUUCUGUGGGAUGUUCUUCAAACAGCAGUACAAUACUCCAUGGAUUAAUAUCUGUUUAAGGGAGGUUAGUUUGGUAUGGCUAUUCAUAACUUUUACCUUUAUGGACGUAUUUAAUUGAGGUUAUUCUGAUAUGCAUAUUCAUAAUUUACUUUUUA